GGGUUGUGAGGUUAAGCGACUAAGCGUACACGGUGGAUGCCCUGGCAGUCAGAGGCGAUGAAGGACGUGCUAAUCUGCGAAAAGCGUCGGUAAGGUGAUAUGAACCGUUAUAACCGGCGAUGUCCGAAUGGGGAAACCCAGUGUGUUUCGACACACUAUCAUUAACUGAAUCCAUAGGUUAAUGAGGCGAACCGGGGGAACUGAAACAUCUAAGUACCCCGAGGAAAAGAAAUCAACCGAGAUUCCCCCAGUAGCGGCGAGCGAACGGGGAGGAGCCCAGAGCCUGAAUCAGUGUGUGUGUUAGUGGAAGCGUCUGGAAAGGCGCGCGAUACAGGGUGACAGCCCCGUACACAAAAAUGCACAUGCUGUGAGCUCGAUGAGUAGGGCGGGACACGUGGUAUCCUGUCUGAAUAUGGGGGGACCAUCCUCCAAGGCUAAAUACUCCUGACUGACCGAUAGUGAACCAGUACCGUGAGGGAAAGGCGAAAAGAACCCCGGCGAGGGGAGUGAAAAAGAACCUGAAACCGUGUACGUACAAGCAGUGGGAGCCCUGAUUUAUCAGGGUGACUGCGUACCUUUUGUAUAAUGGGUCAGCGACUUAUAUUCUGUAGCAAGGUUAACCGAAUAGGGGAGCCGGAGGGAAACCGAGUCUUAACUGGGCGUUAAGUUGCAGGGUAUAGACCCGAAACCCGGUGAUCUAGCCAUGGGCAGGUUGAAGGUUGGGUAACACUAACUGGAGGACCGAACCGACUAAUGUUGAAAAAUUAGCGGAUGACUUGUGGCUGGGGGUGAAAGGCCAAUCAAACCGGGAGAUAGCUGGUUCUCCCCGAAAGCUAUUUAGGUAGCGCCUCGUGAAUUCAUCUCCGGGGGUAGAGCACUGUUUCGGCAAGGGGGUCAUCCCGACUUACCAACCCGAUGCAAACUGCGAAUACCGGAGAAUGUUAUCACGGGAGACACACGGCGGGUGCUAACGUCCGUCGUGAAGAGGGAAACAACCCAGACCGCCAGCUAAGGUCCCAAAGUCAUGGUUAAGUGGGAAACGAUGUGGGAAGGCCCAGACAGCCAGGAUGUUGGCUUAGAAGCAGCCAUCAUUUAAAGAAAGCGUAAUAGCUCACUGGUCGAGUCGGCCUGCGCGGAAGAUGUAACGGGGCUAAACCAUGCACCGAAGCUGCGGCAGCGACGCUGAUGCGUUGUUGGGUAGGGGAGCGUUCUGUAAGCCUGUGAAGGUGUGCUGUGAGGCAUGCUGGAGGUAUCAGAAGUGCGAAUGCUGACAUAAGUAACGAUAAAGCGGGUGAAAAGCCCGCUCGCCGGAAGACCAAGGGUUCCUGUCCAACGUUAAUCGGGGCAGGGUGAGUCGACCCCUAAGGCGAGGCCGAAAGGCGUAGUCGAUGGGAAACAGGUUAAUAUUCCUGUACUUGGUGUUACUGCGAAGGGGGGACGGAGAAGGCUAUGUUGGCCGGGCGACGGUUGUCCCGGUUUAAGCGUGUAGGCUGGUUUUCCAGGCAAAUCCGGAGAAUCAAGGCUGAGGCGUGAUGACGAGGCACUACGGUGCUGAAGCAACAAAUGCCCUGCUUCCAGGAAAAGCCUCUAAGCAUCAGGUAACAUCAAAUCGUACCCCAAACCGACACAGGUGGUCAGGUAGAGAAUACCAAGGCGCUUGAGAGAACUCGGGUGAAGGAACUAGGCAAAAUGGUGCCGUAACUUCGGGAGAAGGCACGCUGAUGGUAGGUGAAGCGACUUGCUCGUGGAGCUGAAAUCAGUCGAAGAUACCAGCUGGCUGCAACUGUUUAUUAAAAACACAGCACUGUGCAAACACGAAAGUGGACGUAUACGGUGUGACGCCUGCCCGGUGCCGGAAGGUUAAUUGAUGGGGUCAGCGCAAGCGAAGCUCUUGAUCGAAGCCCCGGUAAACGGCGGCCGUAACUAUAACGGUCCUAAGGUAGCGAAAUUCCUUGUCGGGUAAGUUCCGACCUGCACGAAUGGCGUAAUGAUGGCCAGGCUGUCUCCACCCGAGACUCAGUGAAAUUGAACUCGCUGUGAAGAUGCAGUGUACCCGCGGCAAGACGGAAAGACCCCGUGAACCUUUACUAUAGCUUGACACUGAACACUGGUCCUUGAUGUGUAGGAUAGGUGGGAGGCUUUGAAGUGUGGACGCCAGUCUGCAUGGAGCCGUCCUUGAAAUACCACCCUUUAAUGGCUGGUGUUCUAACGUUGGCCCCUUAUCGGGGUUGCGGACAGUGUCUGGUGGGUAGUUUGACUGGGGCGGUCUCCUCCUAAAGAGUAACGGAGGAGCACGAAGGUUGGCUAAUCCUGGUCGGACAUCAGGAGGUUAGUGCAAUGGCAUAAGCCAGCUUGACUGCGAGCGUGACGGCGCGAGCAGGUGCGAAAGCAGGUCAUAGUGAUCCGGUGGUUCUGAAUGGAAGGGCCAUCGCUCAACGGAUAAAAGGUACUCCGGGGAUAACAGGCUGAUACCGCCCAAGAGUUCAUAUCGACGGCGGUGUUUGGCACCUCGAUGUCGGCUCAUCACAUCCUGGGGCUGAAGUAGGUCCCAAGGGUAUGGCUGUUCGCCAUUUAAAGUGGUACGCGAGCUGGGUUUAGAACGUCGUGAGACAGUUCGGUCCCUAUCUGCCGUGGGCGCUGGAGAACUGAGGGGGGCUGCUCCUAGUACGAGAGGACCGGAGUGGACGCAUCACUGGUGUUCGGGUUGUCAUGCCAAUGGCACUGCCCGGUAGCUAAAUGCGGAAGAGAUAAGUGCUGAAAGCAUCUAAGCACGAAACUUGCCCCGAGAUGAGUUCUCCCUGAGACUUAGAGUCUCCUGAAGGAACGUUGAAGACGACGACGUUGAUAGGCCGGGUGUGUAAGCGCAGCGAUGCGUUGAGCUAACCGGUACUAAUGAACCGUGAGGCUUAACCUUACAACGCCGAAGGUGUUU
rnacentral:rRNA from 1 species